rnacentral:snRNA from 1 species
GUGCUCGCUUUGGCAACACAUAUACUAAAAUUGGAAUAAUACAGAGAUUAGUGUGGUCCCUGCACAAGGAUGACACACAAGUUUGUGAAGCAUUCUAUAUAUAU